rnacentral:rRNA from 1 species
GACGAACGCUGGCGGCGUGCUUAACACAUGCAAGUCGAACGGAGUGGCGAACGGGUGAGUAACACGUGGGUGACCCGCCCUGCACUUCGGGAUAAGCCUGGGAAACUGGGUCUAAUACCGGAGAGUGUGGGAUGGGCCCGCGGCCUAUCAGCUUGUUGGUGGGGUAAUGGCCUACCCAGGCGGCGCCGGGUAGCCGGCAUGGGAGGGUGGACGGCCGCAAGAGGACUGCGACAGGGCCCAGACGCCUACGGGGGGCAGCGGUGGGAAAUAUUGCACAGUGGGCGGAAGUCUGAUGCAGCGACGCCGGGUGGGGGAUGACGGUCUUCGGGUUGUAAACUCCUUUCACCAUCGACGCGGUAGAUGGAGAAGAAGCACCGGCUAACUACGUGCCAGCAGCCGCGGUAAUUC